rnacentral:rRNA from 1 species
AGCAGCCGCGGUAAUUCCAGCUCCAAUAGCGUAUAUUAAAGUUGUUGCAGUUAAAAAGCUCGUAGUUGAAUUUCGGGAUCAAGGAAUCGGUCAUGCCUCGGUAUGUACUGGUUUUAUUGGUUCUCACCUUCUAAAGAACCAUAAUGUCAUUCAUUUGAUGUUAUGGGGAAUUAGGACUGUUACCUUGAAAAAAUUAGAGUGUUUAAAGCAGGCUUACGCUUGAAUACAUUAGCAUGGAAUAAUGAAAUAGGACAUCAGAUUCUAUUUUGUUGGUUUCUAGGAUCGAUGUAAUGAUUAAUAGGGAUAGUUGGGGGCAUUAGUAUUCAAUUGUCAGAGGUGAAAUUCUUGGAUUUAUUGAAGACUAACUACUGCGAAAGCAUUUGCCAAGGAUGUUUUCAUUAAUCAAGAACGAAAGUUAGGGGAUCGAAGACGAUCAGAUACCGUCGUAGUCUUAACCAUAAACUAUCCCGACUAGGGAUCGGAUGAUGUUAAAAUGACGCGCUCGGCACCUCAUG